rnacentral:rRNA from 1 species
CACGUAGGGUGCAAGCGUUGUCCGGAAUCAUUGGGCGUAAAGAGCUCGUAGGCGGCUUAGUAAGUCGGGUGUGAAAACCCCAGCUCAACCUGGGGACGCCACCCGAUACUGCUAUAGCUAGAGUCCAGUAGGGGAGUGUGGAAUUCCCAGUGUAGCGGUGAAAUGCGCAGAUAUUGGGAGGAACACCAGCGGCGAAGGCGGCACUCUGGGCUGGUACUGACGCUGAGGAGCGAAAGCGUGGGUAGCGAACAGG